AUUGAACGCUGGCGGCAGGCUUAACACAUGCAAGUCGAGCGAGCGGCGGAAGGGUGAGUAAGGUCUGGGAAACUGCCCGAUGGAGGGGGAUAACUACUGGAAACUGUAGCUAAUACCGCAUACCAUCAGAUGUGCCCAGAUGGGAUUAGCUAGUAGGUGGGGUAAUGGCUCACCUAGGCGACGAUCCCUAGCUGGUUUGAGAGGAUGCCCAGCCACACUGGAACUGAGACACGGUCCAGACUCCUACGGGAGGCAGCAGUGGGGAAUAUUGCACAAUGGGCGCAAGCCUGAUGCAGCCAUGCCGCGUGUGCGAAGAAGGCCUUCGGGUUGUAAAGCACUUUCAGCGAGGAGGCGUUACUCGCAGAAGAAGCACCGGCUAACUCCGUGCCAGCAGCCGCGGUAAUAC
rnacentral:rRNA from 1 species